rnacentral:rRNA from 1 species
UCCCGCCUGCCCUGUGACGUGUUUAACGGCCGCGGUAUUUUGACCGUGCGAAGGUAGCGCAAUCACUUGUCUUUUAAAUGAAGACCUGUAUGAAUGGCAUAACGAGGGCUAAGCUGUCUCCCUUUCCCGGUCAAUGAAAUUGAUCUCCCCGUGCAGAAGCGGGGAUAAACUCGUAAGACGAGAAGACCCUAUGGAGCUUCAGACACCAGGCAGACCAUGUUAAAACCCCUAAAACAAAAGGCCAAACCAAAUGACUCCUGUCCCCCUGUCUUUGGUUGGGGCGACCGCGGGGAAACAAAUAACCCCCACGUGGAACAGGGAUAAUAAAACCAGAGCCACAGCUCUAACAAGCAGAACUUCUGACCAACAAGAUCCGGCAACGCCGAUCAACGGACCGAGUUACCCUAGGGAUAACAGCGCAAUCCCCUUUUAGAGCCCAUAUCGACAAGGGGGUUUACGACCUCGAUGUUGGAUCAGGACAUCCUAAUGGUGCAGCCGCUAUUAAGGGUUCGUUUGUUCAACGAUUAAAGUCCUACGUGAUCUGAGUUCAGACCG